rfam:Escherichia coli ISC11, WGS project CBWP01000000 data, contig: c21
AUUAAAAAGGCUCAUUAAGAGUCAGGGCCUCCUGUUGCCUGAAGAAGGGUAA